rnacentral:rRNA from 2 species
NCCUGCCCACUGAUUAAUUUAAUGGCCGCAGUAAUUUGACUGUGCAAAGGUAGCAUAAUCAUUAGUUUUUUAAUUGAAAGCUUGUAUGAAUGGUUGGACGAGAUAAAAUCUGUCUCUAUUUAAAUUAUUUUAGAAUUUUAUUUUUAAGUUAAAAGGCUUAAAUGUAUAUAAAAGACGAGAAGACCCUAUAGAUCUUUAUAUUUUUUUUAUAUAAUUUUAUUAAAGAAUUUUAUAAUUUUUAUAUAUAUAAGUAUUUUAUUGGGGUAAUAAAAAGAUUUAUUAAAUUCUUUUUUUUAUUUAAUAUAAAUUAAUAAAUAUUUGAUCUAAUUUAUUUUGAUUAUAAGAUUAAGUUACCUUAGGGAUAACAGCGUGAUUUUUUUUGAGAGUUCAUAUCGAUAAAAAAGUUUGCGACCUCGAUGUUGGAUUAAAAAUUAUUUUAGGUGUAGAAGUCUAAAAAAUUUGGUCUGUUCGACCAUUAAAUUUU